rnacentral:rRNA from 1 species
UACGUAGGGCGCAAGCGUUGUCCGGAAUUAUUGGGCGUAAAGAGCUCGUAGGCGGUUUGUCGCGUCUGCUGUGAAAACUCGAGGCUCAACCUCGGGCUUGCAGUGGGUACGGGCAGACUAGAGUGCGGUAGGGGAGACUGGAAUUCCUGGUGUAGCGGUGGAAUGCGCAGAUAUCAGGAGGAACACCGAGUGGCGAAGGCAGGUCUCUGGGCCGCAACUGACGC